rnacentral:rRNA from 1 species
UGGGGAAUAUUGGACAAUGGGCGAAAGCCUGAUCCAGCCAUGCCGCGUGUGUGAAGAAGGUCUUCGGAUUGUAAAGCACUUUAAGUUGGGAGGAAGGGCAGUAAGCGAAUACCUUGCUGUUUUGACGUUACCGACAGAAUAAGCACCGGCUAACUCUGUGCCAGCAGCCGCGGUAAUACAGAGGGUGCAAGCGUUAAUCGGAAUUACUGGGCGUAAAGCGCGCGUAGGUGGUUCGUUAAGUUGAAUGUGAAAGCCCCGGGCUCAACCUGGGAACUGCAUCCAAAACUGGCGAGCUAGAGUAGGGCAGAGGGUGGUGGAAUUUCCUGUGUAGCGGUGAAAUGCGUAGAUAUAGGAAGGAAUACCGAUGGCGAAGGCAGCCAUCUGGCCUAACACUGACGCUGAGGUACGAAAGCAUGGGGAGCAAACAGG